rnacentral:lncRNA from 1 species
AGGCAAUGCCUCAGUAAGAUGACACAUUCAAAAUAGGAGAAUUUGAGAAAGGUUUACUUAGGAAGUUGUGGGUGGGGAGUAAAGAACUACAAGGCAUCGUGUUAUACUGGGAGAAUACCAGCAGAGCUCAUGCCACUCCCAGGCCCAAAAGGGUGAAGGGAGGACAGGGUUAGCAGAACCCAAAAAGAAAGAAUCAUGUAGAGAAUGACACCCAGAGAGGAGCAGUGACUCUCACUUGAAGGUCACUGUGGUGAUAUCAUAGGAAGAAUUAACUACAGUCUCCUCCUUCCCUUGCUUUAGCCAGAGAGCAAGAGGAGAAGUUGGUGUGGUCCAUACAGGUCAGCCUCUUUGCAGGGGCUGGAAGAAUGAAUGGAGGAUGCAGAGAAGCCAGCAAACAAGGUACCUGCCACACGUACUGUUUACAACAGCUGCGCCUAAUUUAAAGCAACAAAACUUCAAAGAAAGGAAAGAACAUCUUCUGGAAACAUCAGGAUGAUCUGACUCCAGGCACUGACACCAUCAUCCAUCAGAAGUCAUGACCUGUGAUUUGAGGGUAUGAAUUAGAUCGUAGAUUCUCAAGAGAAUUGAUGCCCUUUGGCAACUGUAAAAUGAAGAACUCUGUAUCAUUUUGUUGAGGAUGAGUGAUGUAGUUUUUUGUUUUUGUUUUUUAAUACGAUGGCUUUAAGUGAAGACAGGGCCACACAAAUUGCAUGACUAACUCCUCUCAAAAGUUAGAUAUCUUUUGCAGCCUACUCACUGAAGUCAUUUACAGUUCUUAAUACCAGCAAAGUGGAUAUAAUUGCACAGUGGGAUUUAUUCUAGAUGAAUCAGGAUAUGGGGGAGAAAAAUGGACACAUUAAGAAGAAAAAUUAAAUUGAGCACUUAAAAUAAUUGACCAAAGAAAAUGGUCAAUGUAUGUUUUAUCUUUUCUUCCUUUAAAAAUACAUGUUGUAUGGAAAUUGUGAUGAGGGGAAAAAAAGAAAAAAAAAAGAAAAAACCCACACACAAUUAAAAGGGACAGGUACCUGACUGGGUUUUCCCAUCUCUUCCCCCAAAUGUCCAGCUCACAGGAACUCCUAUGGUCCACCUCUGUGCAGAGAUGAAAAUCUUUCCUUUCCAGAGUCAAAGUCAGCUCUCUGAAUGUUUAUAGCCUAAAAUUAGUGUCUGUGAAGCUGGUAAGACUGUUGCUUUGAACAUUGGUGUUUUAGGCAGUUUCCAGGUAACACUGAAAUGACCGUUUCUUAGCACUUGCCAGACCUAUGAACAAUUGUUAAAAUCUAAAUUAAACCCAUAUUAAACUGACUUUUUUUUUUGACAUCAAAGUGAUGCCAAGAUACCUGAUAUGAUACCCAGAGUGAGUAUGGAAAAGAGGGACUCUCACUAUGCUUUUGGGAAAAGUGUAAAUUGACACAACUUUUUCAAACAAACUUGAUAAAAUGUACUUCCAAGUCUUAAAGCAGUCAUUUAUUUAAUCAAGAGUAUUUAUUGAGUGUCUUCUAUAUCAUGGGCUGGCAAUUAUAUUCUAUCAGUGAGUGAAUAGACAUUACACAGAUAAUUACAAGUGCAAUGACCCCCAUGAAAGGAAAGUCAAAAGGACCUGAGAGAGAGGCAUCAGUCCUGCGAAAGUAAUUAGUCUACAGUAAGGUAUAAACAGUGAGAACUACCUAAAUGUCCCCAGGCACUGGAUUAAAUAAAUGGUGGUAUAUCCAUGCAGUGGAAUAACAUGAUGGUGUUAAGAAUAAAGUUAUAGGGAGGUCCCGUCGUGGCGCAGUGGUUAACGAAUCCGACUAGGAACCAUGAGGUUGCGGGUUCGGUCCCUUCCCUUGCUCAGUGGGUUAAUGAUCCGGCGUUGCCGUGAGCUGUGGUGUAGGUUGCAUACGAGGCUCGUAUCCCGCGUGGCUGUGGCUCUGGCAUAGGCUGGUGGCUACAGCUCCGAUUCAACCCCUAGCCUGGGAACCUCCAUAUGCCGUGGGAGCGGCCCAAGAAAUAGCAACAACAACAACAACAACAACAACAAAAAGACAAAAAAGUCAAAAAUAAAAUAAAGUUAUAGAAAAAUACUUAACAGCAUGAAGAAAUGUUCACAAUGUACUGGGUAGUGGAAAAUAACUGGGUAGUGGUAGUUAUAAAAGUGUGUCCAGUUUGACCCCAUUUGGUAAAAAUUAAACAAAACAAAAACUAUUUAUUUAUAAAUCUCUAUCUGUAUCCAUCAUCUAUGAAGGAUAUACCAGAAAAUGCCUCCAGUGAUAAUUGCUGGUUGGGGAUAUUACAAGCAAUACCUUCUUCUUUGUGCAUAUCUUCAUGAACAUUCUUGUAGUUGUAAGAAAUAAUAAUAAUAAUUAAGGGAGUGGUUUCCUCAGGGUUCCCUGAGAUGCUGCCUCCAAAGCUUAAGUCCUCAUUUUGCCCCAAAUAAAACUUAACUCUCAAAAAUAAAUAAAUAAAUAAAUAAAUAAAAAGCAUAUAACUAGGCAUAGAAUAACUGACUUUUGAGAGAGAAGACCUAAAGAGUAUAUUAAUCAACCACUUCUAAUUUAUUUAAAAUCUGUUCUUGUCUUAAAUUAGAUCAACAGAAUACAAUGUUCCUGAAAAAUAUUUUUAAAAUCCCCCGCAGAAGUGCUUUCACAAAGUUAUAACUGAAC